rnacentral:ncRNA from 1 species
AUGAGCGCCUGUCCACCCCAUUCCCUUUGCCUUUGCGCGAGCCGCCGUGCGCCUUUCGGUGCGGUCGGCAUGGACCCGGGCUACGUGGGACGGGCGCGGCGCAGGCGCUCUGAAAGAGAAGUCAGCCGCUGGUUCCGGUAGCCCGGACGGCGGCUUUUUUA